UAGGGCCUAGCACUGCAUUUUUGGUUUUGGGGGGAGAGGCAUGAGGAUGGGGGUUAACCCUGUGCAUUUCCCCCCUAGGACUGAUGACUGAAAUAAUUAAAAGAAGCAUGUUGUGGUGCUCACAGCCUCCUACCUGCUGGUCUGCAAAUGGGACCUCACCACACUGAGCUCCUUCCCGGCGCAGCAAAUCUCACUGACCACCAUUGACUGUGUUGGCCACUUCACCAUUCCAGAGGAAUCCAGAGAAGAGGGCUGUGGAAGUGGAGCGGAACAGCCAGCUUCAGAGAACUGAGCUGACAGGACCAAGUCUGGCAUUUUGGCUGCUGCAGGUGGGCCAAGCAAUCACCAGGAAUUGCCAUCCAUCCUCUGAAGAUAACAUGACCCAUGCUGGCCGAGAACAUUGAUCUGAAGCUGUAUCCUGCAAAUGCUGAACCCAUUGGUGAGCUGUAGGAGGCCUUCAGCAACCAUCAACCUCACUCCAGAAGGAAAGGGUAGAAUUUCCUGGAUGACCAAGCUGGUAAAAGAUUCUCAUUUGCUAAGAGCCAGAGUAAACCAGACUUGCCUUCUGGGAUCUGCAUACCACAACAGUCC
rnacentral:lncRNA from 1 species